rnacentral:lncRNA from 1 species
CUCCCUCCUUGUCAGUCCUCAUUCUUAAUUAAGCAACUGAGCAACUUUAUUGCAAACAAAAAAAAAAAAAAAGAGCUUAAGAAUAUUUGCUAAAGUUGAGAUUUAUGGCGACAAUUUCUGAUGCUUACAGACCUAGAUUUCAAAGUCACAAUUCAUGAAUUUGGAACUUCAAUAUUAAGUAACAUAAAAAAUUUGGAACUCUAGAGUUUCCUAGUCUACCAUGUUCCACGUUUAUGUUUAACUAAAUUUUCUUGUGCAGUUUCUGAGAUUUGAUUUUUGAAGUCGAGAAAAAUGUUUUGAUGUGAAGUAAACUGCUAUAAAUUCUAUCCUGCCUUAGGG